AGAGAGAGAGAGAGAGAGAGAGAGAGAGAGAGAGAGAGAGAGAUAUGAUGAUGAUGAUGAAAGGAAGGAGAAGAAGAGGAAGAGGAGGUGUGAGCAUUGGUGAUGAGGAGACAUAUUUGUUUGAGAGAGAGAGAGAGAGAGAGAGAGAGAGAGAGAGAGAGAGGAGUUAAGGGAGGGUAUACAAUAUUUGCUUAAGGGUGAAAGUGUG
rnacentral:lncRNA from 1 species